rnacentral:rRNA from 1 species
UGCCAGACUCCUACGGGAGGCAGCAGUGAGGAAUAUUGGUCAAUGGGCGCGAGCCUGAACCAGCCAAGUCGCGUGAGGGAAGACGGUCCUAUGGAUUGUAAACCUCUUUUGUCGGGGAGCAAAAGACGCCACGCGUGGCGUUCCGAGAGUACCCGAAGAAAAAGCAUCGGCUAACUCCGUACCAGCAGCCGCGGUAAUACGGAGGAUGCGAGCGUUAUCCGGAUUUAUUGGGUUUAAAGGGUGCGUAGGCUGUGAGGUAAGUCAGCGGUGAAAUGCCCCCGCUCAACGGGGUGAAGUGCCAUUGAUACUGCCUUGCUGGAAUGCGGAUGCCGUGGGAGGAAUGUGUGGUGUAGCGGUGAAAUGCAUAGAUAUCACACAGAACACCGAUUGCGAAGGCAUCUCACGAAUCCGCGAUUGACGCUGAUGCACGAAAGCGUGGGUAUCAAACAGGAUUAGAUACCCCGGUA